AAUAAGAUCAUUUUUCAGUUUUUUAUAUAAUGUUUUGACUCUUCGUCUUAUUUAAAAAAUUUUUAUGAUUAAUAUUUUUAUUUUUAUUAUAUGAUAGAACAUGAAUAUUACUUUAUCCAUGACUAAUUUUUUUAAAUUUUUGUACAAUUUUUUUAAAUAAGACAAAUGAUUAAAUAUUGGACAUGGAAAAAC
rnacentral:pre_miRNA from 1 species